UACGAAGGGGGGCUAGCGUUGCUCGGAAUCACUGGGCGUAAAGCGCACGUAGGCGGCUUUCUAAGUCAGGGGGUGAAAUCCUGGAGCUCAACUCCAGAACUGCCUUUGAUACUGGAAAGCUUGAGUUCGGGAGAGGUGAGUGGAACUGCGAGUGUAGAGGUGAAAUUCGUAGAUAUUCGGAAGAACACCAGUGACGAAGGCGGCUCACUGGACCGGUAUUGACGCUGAGGUGCGAAAGCGUGGGGAGCAAACAGGG
rnacentral:rRNA from 1 species